UGGGGGAUAUUGCGCAAUGGGGGAAACCCUGACGCAGCAACGCCGCGUGAAGGAAGAAGGUCUUCGGAUUGUAAACUUUUGUCUUGUGGGACGAUAAUGACGGUACCACAGGAGGAAGCCACGGCUAACUACGUGCCAGCAGCCGCGGUAAUACGUAGGUGGCGAGCGUUGUCCGGAAUUACUGGGUGUAAAGGGUGCGUAGGCGGGUAUGCAAGUCAGAUGUGAAAUACCACAGCUUAACUGUGGGGCUGCAUUUGAAACUGUAUAUCUUGAGUGGUGGAGAGGUAAGCGGAAUUCCCAGUGUAGCGGUGAAAUGCGUAGAUAUUGGGAGGAACACCAGUGGCGAAGGCGGCUUACUGGACACUAACUGACGCUGAUGCACGAAAGCGUGGGGAGCAAACAGG
rnacentral:rRNA from 1 species